rnacentral:rRNA from 1 species
UACAUGGGGUGCAAACGUUGCUCGGAAUCAUUGGGCGUAAAGGGUGCGUAGGCGGCGCGGUAAGUCGGGUGUGAAAUCUUGGAGCUUAACUCCGAAACUGCAUUCGAUACUGCCGUGCUUGAGGACUGGAGAGGAGACUGGAAUUUACGGUGUAGCGGUGAAAUGCGUAGAUAUCGUAAGGAAGACCAGUGGCGAAGGCGGGUCUCUGGACAGUUCCUGACGCUGAGGCACGAAGGCCAGGGGAGCAAACGGG